CACAACCAAGUCUCGUGCUCUGGCUGCAGCCUAGGCAGUGGGAAGAAGGAAGCUGGUGUGCGCUGAGACCACUGCAGGAGGAGCCGGCUCAGAGGGAGGCAGGAACUGGCUUUAAACUCAGUUAGCUGUUGCUAGGAGGUAAAGAUCACACCAGAGGAUGUGUGUCUCAGGUAGAGGAGAGGGUUGGAUGAGGUAUAACGGGAAAUUCUCCUCCUCUGGUUAAGAAAUCUAAGAAGGGCCAGCCUCUGUGCUUUACUCCUGUAAUUCCAGCACUUUGGGAGGCUGAGGCAGGAGGAUUGCUUUGAGGUCAGGAGUUCAAGACCAGCCUGGGCAACAUAGGGAGACCUCCAUCUCUACAAAUAAUUUUUAAAAUUAGCUGGCUAUGAUGGUGUGGGCCAGUGGUCCCAGAUACUCCCGAGGCUGAGGUGGGAGGAUCACUUGAGCUCAGGAGGUCGAGGCCACAGUGAGCCAUAAUCACAGCACUGCACUCCAGCCUGGGCGAUGGAGUGAGAUGUUGUCUCAAAAAAAAAGGAAAAGUAGAAAUCUACGAGUCAAAUGAGAACUAACAGCCCCAUGUAGAUAGACAUGGGAAAUCCUAGCUCAUAGCUCCAAAAUUUCAAGUUAAUUUUUGGGGAGUUUUUUUUUUGAGAUGGAGUCUUGCUCUGUUGCCUAGGCUGGAGUGCAGUGGCGGGAUCUUGGCUCAUUGUAGCUCUCACCUCUCUCACUUCAAGCAAUCUUUCCACCUCAGCAUCCCAAGUAGCUGAGAUUACAGGCACGCACCACAACGCCUGGCUAAGUACUGUGUUUUUGGUAGAGAUGAGGUUUCACCAUGUUGUUCAAGACCAGCCUGGACAAUAUGGUGAAAGCCCAUCUCUACUAAAAAUACAAAAAAUUACCUGGGUGUGGUGGCACGCGCCUGUAGUCCCAGCUGCUCGGGAAGCUGAGGCAGAAGAAUUGCUUGAACCCAGGAGACGAAGGGUGCAGUGAGCAGAGAUUGCACCAGUGCACCUCAGCCUGGGCUACCGGGAGAGACUCCAUCUCAAAAACAAACACAAACGAACGUACAAUUAAAGUCGUA
ensembl:lncRNA